rnacentral:tRNA from 1 species
UGGCCAGGUAGCUCAGCUGGUAGCAGCGUUCGCCUGAAAAGUGAAAGGUCGGCGGUUCGAGCCCGCCCCUGGCCACCC